UACGUAGGGUGCGAGCGUUGUCCGGAAUUAUUGGGCGUAAAGAGCUCGUAGGCGGUCUGUCGCGUCGGAUGUGAAAACCCAGGGCUUAACCCUGGGCCUGCAUUCGAUACGGGCAGACUAGAGUUCGGUAGGGGAGACUGGAAUUCCUGGUGUAGCGGUGAAAUGCGCAGAUAUCAGGAGGAACACCGGUGGCGAAGGCGGGUCUCUAGGCCGACACUGACGCUGAGGAGCGAAAGCGUGGGGAGCGAACAGG
rnacentral:rRNA from 1 species